GGAAGUGUGCCCGAGCUAAGGACUACCUUGAUAGAGUAGACACGGAACCAAUAAAUUCCCACUUCCC
rnacentral:tRNA from 1 species